rnacentral:rRNA from 1 species
CCGCGUGAACGAUGAAAUAUUUAGGUAUGUAAAGUUCUUUUAUUAAAGAAGAAAAAAUGAUGGAAAAAUCAUUCUGACGGUAUUUAAUGAAUAAGCCCCGGCUAACUAUGUGCCAGCAGCUGCGGUAAUACAUGGGGGGCAAGCGUUAUCCGGAUUUAUUGGGCGUAAAGGGUGUGUAGGCGGUUUAAUAAGUCUAUGGUAUAAGUUCAACGCUUAACGUUGUGAUGCUAUGGAAACUGUUUGACUAGAGUUGGAUAGAGGCAAGUGGAAUUCCAUGUGUAGCGGUAAAAUGCGUAAAUAUAUGGAGGAACACCAGUAGCGAAGGCGGCUUGCUGGGUCUUAACUGACGCUGAGGCACGAAAGCGUGGGGAGCAAACAGGAUUAGAUACCCUGGUAGUCCACGCCGUAAACGAUGAGUACUAAGUGUUGGGUUAAACCAGUGCUGAAGUUAACACAUUAAGUACUCCGCCUGAGUAGUACGUACGCAAGUAUGAAACUUAAAGGAAUUGACGGGACUCCGCACAAGCGGUGGAUCAUGUUGUUUAAUUCGAAGAUACACGAAAAACCUUACCAGGUCUUGACAUACUCUGCAAAGCUAUAGAAAUAUAGUGGAGGUUAUCAGGGAUACAGGUGGUGCAUGGUUGUCGUCAGCUCGUGUCGUGAGAUGUUGGGUUAAGUCCCGCAACGAGCGCAACCCUUAUCGCUAGUUACCAUCAUUUAGUUGGGCACUUUAGUGAGACUGCCAAUGAUAAAUUGGAGGAAGGUGGGGAUUACGUCAAAUCAUCAUGCCCCU